CGUGCGCUCUGCGGGCCCGCCCGACGGGUCGGGGGGGGGGGGGGGGGCGCCGGCGGGCGGCUCCUGCCCGCGCCUCUGACCCGCAGCAUCGCCCCGUGCCCGCCCACGGGAGAGCCGCGCCCGCGGUCCCGCACCCCGCAGAGGGGCCCGGCUGCGGGGUCCACCCGGGCGCGGGAAUUGCCCUGGCUGCCUGCGGAGGUGGGGGGGCUGGCCCAGGCCGGGACCCGCAGCCCGGGGGGUGCGCACCCCCUCGCAGGGCUGCCCCAGAAGUGACAGGCGCGUGCCCGAGCCAGGCUGCGGUGGCAGGGCCGGGGGGAGCCGAGCUGCCGAGCGUCAGGGCUGAGCUUCGCCAGCCCCCGGCCUGCAGCCCCGGGUGCCCGCAGGGAGGGAGAGCAGCCGCUGCCAGCCCACGCCCGUGCUGCUGCCGGGGCAGGAGAGGUGCCCAGCUGUGUCUCAUCACUGCGUCCCAUGAUGAGGGGCAAGAGCUCCCAGGGCUCACGCGGCUGCUCUAUAAGUAGGGCAGCAGCAGCACUAGCAAGAGCUGGUUUCUAUGUCUCUGCCUUUAGUUUCCUGCUCAUUCACCCUCCAGCCUGCCUACCGCAGACAGUGAUCCCUGACCUGCUGCUCUAAGAUGGCUCAAGACCCUGGGACUGCUUAUGGUGCUGCUUUUGCCUUGCCUGUGGCCCAAGGAUGCUGGGGUCACUGAGCCACACUGAAGGCUUUAGGGAAGUGCCAAGGGGGCUGCAAGGAAACCACUACAGAAUGAGAAGCAGAACUUCUUGGGAAGCCCAAGACUACUUGCCCUUCAGACUGUAUCAGAAGACACAGAGGACGGGAUUGAGGAUUAGUAAAGGAAGAAAAUACACUAUGUUGAAAUAAUCUUACCAGAAGUUUUUGGGCUGGAACUGGUGGCUCUCAAUACAGGCAAUAAUUGUCUGCUGCCCAUCUAUAGAUUUACCAUAAACCUGUAUUUAGAAAAAGAGUUAAAGAGGCCCAAGAGCUGAGGAAAGCUAUUCUUAAUUUCUGUUCUUGGCAGCACUGUGGAGGCUCGCUAUUGCGGCAUCUCGCUGGGGACGUGUACGACUAAUUACAUUGUCCAACACCUCCAUUUGCACGUAUGUGCACAUAAUGCCUCCUUUUUAAUAACUGCAGGUGUUGAGGUGCUUGGCAGUCAUGACUAUGAAAAGUAAGGCCAAUGUAGCUUUACCGCUGUGUGCAUACCAAGAUAUUUGCACCCUCUUUGGAACUUGUUAUUCCCAAAUUAGCUAAACCGCUAGUGAGGAUGGAAAAUUCGAACAGCACUGCCCAGCACAAAGUCCACUCAAGGCACUGACUGACAUGGAGCAACAAACUUUCAGUGAAACAAGACGGAUACUCAACGGUACAGAAGCCAUUGGGGUAAUGAUCUUUCACAUAAGCUCUCAAUGCACUGUCACAGGCAUCUCUCCAUUGUUUUAAAGCUGAUUCUGUGUCCUCAGGCUGGGGGUCACUUGCUUCUUUCCUUAAAUGAUCAAACUUAAAAGAAAGUUUGUUUCUUGGGUCUAAAAAUCUGCCAUUGCCGAGAUCACCAUGUUCUGUGAUUAAGACCUGUAAAAGAAGUUGAAAUUAAGAUACACUCAUGCUUCUAUAAAUCUGCUGUUUUGCUUUUUUCCCUAUUUGUAUAGAUAUCAGUGUUUCAGUAGACUCUUUCAUUGAGCUAUAACAUCACAUAACCCAAUAAUUUCAGUAAUAAUUUCAACUAAGAGUAGUUGUAGUGAGGCUGUAGGUAAACUCCCUGCUCUUCACAAUAAUACUGCAAUUAGUCUUCUGUCCCAGAAGUGGCUGUAUUAUAAUAAUGCAUAUAUUUAGCUUAAAGUUGGGCAUCCUUAUGAUACAAAUGGGUGGGUUUGCUUUUGAAGUUAUUUUUGCUGUUUUUCUUCCCCAUUUCUAAAGGAAACAAAAGAAUUUUACUCUGGAAUUUACCAUUUAUUGUCAUGUUCCAUGUUGCAAUAGCUCUCCUUCUGGUCAAGAAGGGUAUAUAGAUGUGGCUACUUCUAAUAUACACAAACUAAAGUAGGCAGCAAAGCAGCACUGUACCUUCCCUCUCCCUUGUCUUAUUCACCAUAAUUCUCUGGCUUACCAAACACCGACUUUAAUUUGUUUUUGCAGGUUGUACUGUAACUUUCUCUUGUCAAAGCUAUUCCUAUGGACAGCCCUCUUAAAAAUAUCUGUCUCCUGUGAACAUAUCUGGGACACCAAAAAAGCUAGUACUUACUGUGCUGCUCCUUCCCUGAGAAGAUUGUCAUUGUUAAGCAAUAACCGGACAUCUGGAGAGGAGAGGGUUCAGUGUAACCCAGCAGAAGAAUUCCAAAUGUACUCAGGAAGAACUGCAAACUUCAUGUGGGCACCUGUCAAAAUGUGAACUGUUCCACCUACAGAGCACUAACGUAUUUAAAGAAUACAAAUGCUGGCUAGCCACUCUUCUUGGUGACAUUCUUAAACAAUGUUUUCUCCUGAUCCUUGCUAGCCAUCAGAAACCUAAAUGCCAAGGAAUAUAAAGAAUAAGAAACCACUGCAGUAAAAGUGACGCUGUAACUAGAGAGUAACCUACAGCACAACCACAGAGCUAAGGAGUGUCUGACAGAUAUUGCAGGACACUGUGAUUCCAUGUGACGCAACUUGUUUGCUGCUGACGGAGGUGCCACAGCUUCACAGCAAACAGCAUGUGGAGGCAAGAGGCUGAUCCCUCUAGAAAUGGAGCAGUAAAUCAAUUACAUCAACUGCCAGGGGACUGCUUCCAGAGUUAAUUACGCCUCUUGGACUUUGAAAAGCCACUGAUGUGCCCAGAGUGCAGAAGGGGUAGGGAGAUAACAAGGAAAAAGCUGGGAACUGACAGAAAUGGGGGAGGUGAUGGAAAGUGCCAAAAUGAACCCCAGCAGCCAGGCACUGCCUCCAAAUGAAACCAUCCAAAUUUCAGCAGGUGAGAUUUUUUUUUCUUGACCCUCUAAUGCUGCCCUGGUCAUUUCUAACCCUGAGCAGCAGCCACCCCACCUGUGCCAUUCUGUGCCACAUCACUCCUCUUAUCUUGAAGCAAUGGUUUACUGGAAACUGUACUGUAGUCCAGACAUCAAGUGUCAUGGUAGCAGAAGAACUAAAGCAUGUGGAGCUGUGAGUGAUACAGUAAAUAACAGAAAAGGCCAACUGUAAGGAAAAUACCAGCAUGUCUGCAACCUUUGAAGCUGGAAAAGAAAAACCCAUUCUCUUCUAAAAAGUAAUAAAACUGCACUGUGUUCUGAAAUCCAAUAUAGAUGUCUUGGACUGCUAGAAUUUAGGUGGUCUAGGUAUUGAUUCUGUUGAAAUUAGUAAGAGUUUAUGGUUUUCAUAAUCAAAUCUUUUAUGGUUUUUACAGGACCAAAGGGAAUAGAAUAAUCUUGGAAGACUUAAACAGGAAAUGUCACAAAAUUAAACCUCUCCCUUAGAACAAUAAAAACGUCAUGUUUUUUCCAAAGCACAGCUAACAAAGCUGUGCAAUAAGCCUUUCUUGCUCAACCAGACAUUUAUUGAAGAUGACUGCAGAACAGUCCUCAUUACGACUCUGCUUACUUUUUCUACGUUUCAUUUUGGGCAGUAAAACAAAGGAGUGUGUAUAUAUCCAACUGCUUCAGCUGAAUUAUUGCCAGAGCUGGAAAUAACUUGCUUCUCUCAAUAGUCUUCCUUAUUUUAGAUAGAAAUUGUUGUUUGUAUUGUUUGUCACAUAAUGAUUUAAAGCAACCCAUGAAAGGAAAUAAACACCUUUCCAAACAAAGGGUAUACUGCCUUAUUCCAGCGGUAUCAAGUAACAACUCUGCCUUAACCGGAUUGAGCUUCAGACAAAAAUUGAUCAUUUUCCAAAUUACCAUCUAUUUAAAUAUAUAUACACACAUACAUUUUUAUGCCUUAAAUAAUUAUGCAGUAUAAGUGAAAAACUAAAAAGUCUGUAACUUGCGUAACUGAUACAAUACAGACCGUCAAACCAUUUUCUCCUAACAUUCUGCUUUUUAGAUAAGGCUGGUAAGUGUACAGCAAUCCUAAAAUGUAGCUCUGUCUGAAAAUUUUCACUAUCUAAAGAACUGUAAUUAGGCCACAUUGCUGCCAUAAUCUUGUCAGAUUUCACUAUCAGAAACUUGGACUGUGAUGAAGAUAACCUAGCAGUAAUUAAGAGGGGCACUGCUGCUUUAUAUCCUCUGUGGACUUUGCUGAGAGCCAGCCCUAAAUGGCUGAAAGACUUCUGAAAUGACACCAUGUGCUUUUCUAAGAAAGCGCAAGUGUAAGCACUAGUGCAGGCAUAUCAGGCUGUGCUAAAGCGCUUACAAAUACAUACCACUUCGUGCCACGAUGCCUUUCAGUGGGAGGAUUGCACUAGAAUGCAUCCUGCAAAUUAAGUCCCCAGAUGAACAGAUUCCCUUUUAUAAGGUGCUUCAACAUACGGAAAAAUAAGGCCCCUAAAAAGCCAUAAAAUUGAGUAUCUUAUAAAUUUAUGCAACAAUGUUGUGGCUGCAGAACUGUACUGUACAGGGAAAGGUCAUAAACCGCACCACUGUUUUAAGAGGUUGACUUAUAGAUCAAUGGGUUCCCAUAAACAGAUCUUUGUAAAAAAACCCCCAGAUAUUACAGGAGAGAUUUUUAGUCUUCCACAAAUUCUUCCACUUGGAAGGAUGAACAAAAUUAAAUCAACACAGGAAGGACUCGCCAUUUCAACCAAAUGUUAUCACAAACCAGCCGCAAAACAAAGCAAACACUGCAAGUGAGAAGUGGUCGCUUUUACAAAAUAUCCCUAGCCCUGCCUCUCUUGUGGAGCAAUAAAAUACAAAGCAUUUAAGUCAAACUAUUGAAAUCAGGAGUGGUGUGCAGGAAACAGACUGCAGAGUAGUUAAUUCUAAAUGUCAAGCAUUUGAAUCACUGUUUGUUUUUAGAGUUGACUUGUUUCGAAGCAGUGUCACCACAGUGGCAGGAUGUUCAUCUGCAGAAGCAUGAAAAUAAGACUUUCUGCAAACUGACCUACUUCCUGGCCAUCGUUGCCACUUCAGGUAGCUUGCAGCUCGCUAGCAAAAUGAACUUCCUGUUUCUAAAAUGGGGAAAGCGAGAGGGAAGCUGCUCAACCACUAGCUUAAGCUAGCAAAAUGGCAGCAGAAUUAACUUAAGUAGGCAAUAAGGUACAUUGCAGUAGACCCAAAACUAAAAUGAAUCCCUUAGCUUACCUAAAAUAUGCCUAUAGAGAAUAAAGAGGUGAGGCUUGGGGGUGGUGUUGGGGUGGAAUGAAUUAAUUUUGUUGCUCAAUUGAUUUUGUUUCUUUGCUUUAUUUUAAAGCACUGGUAAACUCAGACUUAAAAAAGGAAACACAGAAGUUCUAGACCUAUCUGAAUGGUUACGAAAUGGAUACCAUAGUAAAUCUUUGCUGCAUGUUUCUUUUUUAGGUCCUCGCUUAAGAUUAUCCUUUUCCACCUGUGCUAGGCAUGGAGCUACUUUAAAAUGAAUCAAACUUGCCCAAGCCAGGACAUGAAGUAGAACGUAGGCUCCAAUUUCAAGCAAAAUCCCAUGUACUUCACCAAAGUACUUGGACACACAUAGUUCUGAAGGGUUUCUUCCUUAAGGACAAGUCUUCCCCACAAGUGCUCUGAAAGAACUGGAUACUUCAGGUACAUGUAGUGGGAGGGGGAGAAAACCACCUAGUGACCCCAGGUUCUUGCCACACUGACUCUCAUUCCCAGACUAAUACCUCGCCUAGGUGUAGCCUACCAAUGGGGACUCCAGUUCUCCUUCCAGCUCUGUUAAGGGCUUGCUGGGCUGCCAAGGGCAAUUUACUUCACCUCCUUCCCUCUCAAACCUGUACCUCCAUAACCCCCAACAUGACAAAGCUUUGUAAGCUUUUUUUUUGUUAGUUUUCACAUUGAAUGUAACAAUGCCUUUGAUUUUAAGAGUUCAACUGAAAUUCAGCCAAAUGACAGAGUGAAAUAUUUUAUAUAGCAUUGGAUAGAUUUCAGUAUUGUGCUAAAGACCAUAAGAAUUCUGUUCUGAAAUACUUAUUUCAAACAACGCCCAUGUGAUCCAGAAUACUAACUAAAGGAUGAAUUGCUCCUUUAAAGCUCCAUCUGCUUGUUUCACAAUGAAUGUCACAGUAAUGAACCUAAAAUUGGCAGUUUAAGGGAAAAAUGAAAGUAGGCUCCAAACUCUAGGAUCCUUGAAGGACUAUAGCCUUAAUGUCCCACUUCAGAACGUUAAAGAACAAAGCAAAAAGCUACAUCUAAUAUUUUCAUGAUGUAGGGGGAGUAGCCGUGGAUUUUUAAAGUACCAUUUAUAGGUAACUAGUGUCUAUAGUGUAGAAAAGGCUACUUGUUGUUACAUGAAACUCAGCGCUGCCCGUAAGACUGUCGGUAUUGUGUGUUCCUAUGCAAGAGGAACAAUCUGUUCAUUUCUCCAUUUCCUUAAAUAAAUAUUGCUCUAUUUGCGCCUA